rnacentral:piRNA from 1 species
UGUUGAGUGAAGGUCAGGAGUAGA